UUCCGGUUGAUCCUGGCGGAGGCCAUUGCUAUUGGGAUCCGAUUUAGCCAUGCUAGUUGUACGAGUUCAGACUCGUAGCGAAUAGCUCAGUAACACGUGGCCAAACUACCCUUCGGACCACGAUACCCUCGGGAAACUGAGGUUAAUAGUGUAUCCCACACUCAGACUGGAAUGUCGAGUGUGACAAACGCUCCGGCGCCGAAGGAUGUGGCUGCGGCCGAUUAGGUAGACGGUGGGGUAACGGCCCACCGUGCCAAUAAUCGGUACGGGUCAUGAGAGUGAGAACCCGGAGACGGAAUCUGAGACAAGAUUCCGGGCCCUACGGGGCGCAGCAGGCGCGAAACCUUUACACUGCACGCCAGUGCGAUAAGGGGAUCCCAAGUGCGCAGGCAUAGAGCCUGCGCUUUUGUCCACCCUAGGGAGGUGGACGAAUAAGGGCUGGGCAAGACCGGUGCCAGCCGCCGCGGUAAUACCGGCAGCCCGAGUGAUGGCCGAUCUUAUUGGGCCUAAAGCGUCCGUAGCUGGCCGCGCAAGUCCAUCGGGAAAUCCACCCGCUCAACGGGUGGCCGUCCGGUGGAAACUGCACGGCUUGGGACCGGAAGGCGCGACGGGUACGU
rnacentral:rRNA from 1 species